UACAGAGGUGGCAAGCGUUGUCCGGAUUUACUGGGCGUAAAGCGCGCGCAGGCGGCACUUCAAGUAAGGUGUGAAAUCUCCCUGCUCAACGGGGAGGGUGCACUUUAGACUGAGGAGCUAGAGGACGGUAGAGGGGGGUGGAAUUGCUGGUGUAGCGGUGAAAUGCGUAGAGAUCAGCAGGAACACCCGUGGCGAAGGCGGCCCCCUGGGCCGUACCUGACGCUGAGGCGCGAAGGCUAGGGGAGCGAACGGG
rnacentral:rRNA from 1 species